UGGGGAAUAUUGCACAAUGGGCGCAAGCCCGAUGCAGCCAUGCCGCGUGUAUGAAGAAGGCCUUCGGGUUGUAAAGUACUUUCAGCGAGGAGGAAGGCGGUAAGGUUAAUAACCUUAUCGAUUGACGUUACUCGCAGAAGAAGCACCGGCUAACUCCGUGCCAGCAGCCGCGGUAAUACGGAGGGUGCAAGCGUUAAUCGGAAUUACUGGGCGUAAAGCGCACGCAGGCGGUCUGUCAAGUCGGAUGUGAAAUCCCCGGGCUCAACCUGGGAACUGCAUUCGAAACUGGCAGGCUAGAGUCUUGUAGAGGGGGGUAGAAUUCCAGGUGUAGCGGUGAAAUGCGUAGAGAUCUGGAGGAAUACCGGUGGCGAAGGCGGCCCCCUGGACAAAGACUGACGCUCAGGUGCGAAAGCGUGGGGAGCAAACA
rnacentral:rRNA from 1 species